GGAUGGAAAGUGUCAGGCUGAUAAACUUCACUUAUAAUUAACUUUACUGUUUAACCAUUUAUUCCAGUUGAUGACGGGGCUCAUCUCAAGUGUUGGGUAGAGACGGGGGGUUCUGUAUCUGAUGCACAAGUGCAACUUGCUGCCCCUCUUGUGGUUACUGCAGCUCCUGAUCCGUCUCCCUGCAGAGGGUUUUCUCUCAUCCCUGGGCAAAUGCUCAAGAGAGGAACACUCCAUCCCUUGGCUCCUCAAGACUCCAGCUCUGGCCCAUGAGGGUGGGUAGGAGACACUUGAUUGGUGGGUUGAAGAGUUUUCCAAGCUGUAGGUUUAAAUCUAAACUUCAAUGACUGCACAUCUGUGUGGUUCCACCUCGGGAUAGAGUUGGUAGAUCCGGUGUUGGGGAGUCUGUGGGUUACGUUUGGUGGAUAGUAUAGAGAGCAGCUGGAGCGACUACUAAUGGAGCCUUCCACUUAAAGGGGUCACAGGCUGGUGUAACUAUGGAACUCCCAUGUAGCUUUUAGCAUUUGUGCUUUAUUCACAUGGACUGCUGUUGUAGUUGGGUCAAUAGUAUGGACUAAACUUGAGAGGAACUGUCACAUUUCUGUUCUCGCUUUCUUCUUCCAUGUUACUGUAGCCAGUGACGUAAAGUGUGACGACAUGUACAGCUGCCCAGAUGGACAAACCUGCUGUCUCCUGGGGAUGUUGCCCUAUAGCGCAGGCUGUGUGUUGUGAUGACCAUGAGCACUGCUGCCCCCUGGAUACAUCUGCUCUGGAUCACAGUGUAUGAGUGGGGGGCUCUCCAUCCCCUGGUUCAGCAAGACUCCAGCUCUGAAACAAGAAGAUGGUAAUUGCUCGUCUCCUCCUUCUACAAAGCAAAAUAGUGCAGUGAGCCGAGCUCUGGUUAAUGUAAAGCCCUAGAAUCCUGGACUUACAGACAUUGUAUGGACUGACCCACAGGAACAUGUGAAGGCAACUUACAGACCUUGAGUUCUCAACAGACCAUGGCAUUAACUGUAAGCUCUGUGUGCAGUCUAAAGAGACAUUGGUAAAAUGUGGCAGCCAAUCGCUUCUUCUGCCAAUGGCCCUGUAACAAUUUGAGUGACACUCCUGACCAGGUCUUUGCAGGUACCACAGUGAAAUGCAACGACUCCUUCUGCCGCAUGUAGUCUGGGGUGUGGGGAUGUUUCACUAUAGCGCAGGUGGGAGCUGCCAUUACCCUGCAGAGGGGACUUAUGGGAACUUUGUAUUAAUGAGGCAAAUACUGAACAGAUCAAUGCCUCUUCUUUGUCCUGAUUGGGCCCGCUCUGUUCAUAUGAAAAUUCUGACUGCAGAUGGGGUAGUGGUCUCCUAAAUGGCUGCACAAACUAAAUAGGUGACUCUAAAGGGAGUUGAGGCAUAUUCUCAAACUAAGCUAUUGGGCCCCUUUUUGUCUUGUGAGACCCCAACAGUCCUAAUCCUAUUGGUGCUGCCAGAAGUGUGAUUUAGACUGCUCCUCUGUGGCUACUGAGCCCCGGACUCAUGUACUGCUUUUUGGCACCUGCCAUGUUCCCUCUAGUGCUGCUCUGAUCACUGGCACUGCUGCCCCCAGGGCUUUACCUGUGAUACACGUGGCACCUGUGUGCUGGGCCGGCUCUCUCUCCCGUGGCUCAUGAAGGUCCCGGCUCUGUCCUCUGAUGGCAACUGGUGUGACAAAAGCCACUCUUGCCCAUCUGGUACCACCUGUUGCCCUGGAGAAGGGGGAGACUGGAGUUGUUGCCCAUUGCAGGAGGUAAGUAAAGGUCUUGCUGUUUCUCUCAUUCUUGUUUAAUCCAGUAGAUCUUUCACACAUUAAGGGGUUGAAUUUGAAAAACUGUCAAAACUGUCAUUUUAUUAGGAAGUUUUUUGGGUUUUUUUCAAUUUGAGUUUUUCAAAAUCUCUAGAUUUUUGAGAUUUAUCCUUCUCUGACCCUUUUAAGAACUUAAAUUGUACUAU